GACACCAUAGCCAAGUGGUUACGGCGACAGAUUAGAAUCGCCUCGGUGAGUAUCUGUUUCACUUUGUGAGCGCAGGUUCGAGCCCUGCUGGUGUCG
rfam:Trametes pubescens strain FBCC735 TRAPTBscaffold_602, whole genome shotgun sequence.